rnacentral:rRNA from 1 species
UACGUAGGGUGCAAGCGUUGUCCGGAAUUAUUGGGCGUAAAGAGCUCGUAGGCGGUUCGGUAAGUCGGGUGUGAAAACUUUGGGCUCAACCCAAAGCGUGCACUCGAUACUGCCGUGACUAGAGUUCGGUAGGGGAGCGGGGAAUUCCUAGUGUAGCGGUGAAAUGCGCAGAUAUUAGGAGGAACACCGGUGGCGAAGGCGGCCGCUCUGGGCCGAAACUGACGCUGAGGAGCGAAAGCGUGGGUAGCAAACAGG